UGCCAGCAGCCGCGGUAAUACGAAGGUCCCAAGCGUUGUUCGGAAUAACUGGGCGUAAAGCGUGUGUAGGCUGCGCGGAAAGUCAAAUGUGAAAGCCAAGGGCUCAACCCUUGAACUGCAUUUGAUACUCCCGUGCUAGAGUAAUGGAGAGGUAAGUGGAAUUCUCGGUGUAGCAGUGAAAUGCGUAGAUAUCAGGAGGAACACCAGUGGCGAAGGCGGCUCACUGGCUCGAUACUGACGCUGAGGUGCGAAAGCGUGGGGAGCAAACAGGAUUAGAUA
rnacentral:rRNA from 1 species